rnacentral:rRNA from 1 species
AUUGAACGCUGGCGGCAUGCCUUACACAUGCAAGUCGAACGGCAGCACGGGGCAACCUGGUGGCGAGUGGCGAACGGGUGAGUAAUGCAUCGGAACGUACCUUUCAGUGGGGGAUAACGUAGCGAAAGUUACGCUAAUACCGCAUAUUCUGUGAGCAGGAAAGCAGGGGAUCGCAAGACCUUGCGCUGAUUGAGCGGCCGAUGUCAGAUUAGCUAGUUGGUGAUGUAAAGGCUCACCAAGGCGACGAUCUGUAGCGGGUCUGAGAGGAUGAUCCGCCACACUGGAACUGAGACACGGUCCAGACUCCCACGGGAGGCAGCAGUGGGGAAUUUUGGACAAUGGGGGCAACCCUGAUCCAGCCAUGCCGCGUGAGUGAAGAAGGCCUUCGGGUUGUAAAGCUCUUUCGGCCGGGAAGAAAUCGCACGGGCUAAUACCCUGUGUGGAUGACGGUACCGGAAUAAGAAGCACCGGCUAACUACGUGCCAGCAGCCGCAGUAAGAC